rnacentral:rRNA from 1 species
GAUCCUGGCUCAGAUUGAACGCUGGCGGCAUGCCUUACACAUGCAAGUCGAACGGUAGAGUGGCAAUACUCGAGAGUGGCGAACGGGUGAGUAAUAUAUCGGAACGUGCCCAGUCGUGGGGGAUAACGUAGAGAAAUUUACGCUAAUACCGCAUACGAUCUAAGGAUGAAAGCGGGGGGAUUCGCAAGAACCUCGCGCGAUUGGAGCGGCUGAUAUCAGAUUAGGUUGUUGGUGAGGUAAAAGCUCACCAAGCCGACGAUCUGUAGCUGGUUUGAGAGAACGACCAGCCACACUGGGACUGAGACACGGCCCAGACUCCUACGGGAGGCAGCAGUGGGGAAUUUUGGACAAUGGGCGAAAGCCUGAUCCAGCAAUGCCGCGUGCAGGAAGAAGGCCUUCGGGUUGUAAACUGCUUUUGUACGGAACGAAAAGGCUCUUUCUAAUAAAGAGGGCCCAUGACGGUACCGUAAGAAUAAGCACCGGCUAACUACGUG